CCUUACCGGAUUAGCUGAGAGGUGGUGCAUGGCCGUCGUCAGUUCGUACUGUGAAGCAUCCUGUUAAGUCAGGCAACGAGCGAGACCCACGUCCACAGUUGCCAGCAUAUCCUCCGGGGUGAUGGGUACACUGUGGAGACCGCCGCUGCUAAAGCGGAGGAAGGAAUGGGCAACGGUAGGUCAGUAUGCCCCGAAUCUCCCGGGCUACACGCGGGCUACAAUGGUUGGUACAAUGGGCAUCUACCCCGAAAGGGGAAGGAAAUCUCUUAAAGCCAGUCGUAGUUCGGAUUGAGGGCUGCAACUCGCCCUCAUGAAGCUGGAAUCCGUAGUAAUCGCGUUUCAACAGAACGCGGUGAAUACGUCCCUGCUCCUU
rnacentral:rRNA from 1 species